rnacentral:misc_RNA from 1 species
UAUUAUUAUUAUUAUUAUUAUUAGCAAAAGCAAAGUUGACUUAUAAAUUAAUGGUGAACUGAAUAAUCUGCAGGAAUGCAGUAGCAGUGAGCUUCAAUGGUGAGGUGAAAAGCUUUUUGUUGCGUUAUGUUCCUUCUUAUCUUCUUUUUCCUUUUGGUUCUCUUCAAAGCAUCAUUGUUUAAUUGAAAACCUGACAUAUCCAAUAGGAUAUACAACAAAAACAAACCCCCGUGAAGAAAUCUAUAUAGCAAUCAUGAUGAUGUUGUUUUUUUGCUGUUUUUGUCUUUCUGCAUAAUUAAACAAUGCCCUGCUUGAUCAUUACUGCUACCCCACUAAAUAAUGCAUCAUAGGUACACACAUUCAAAUCCAAGACUUUACAGUCAGCCUGAUUUCAGUGCCAUUGAACUAAAACUCAUUGAUAAAUUCAGCAGCAUUUUUAGUAAGAAAAAAACUGGAUGCUUAUGAUCGGUUAGAUGCUUUUCAGGAAUGGGAUUAGUUCUUGGAAAACUGGGAUAAUAUGGUGUGAUAGUGAGAUUCCAACUUCCAAGCAGUUUAAUUUGAAAUCCUUUGUUCAAAGAUUUCUAGGGUUAUUAGCCAGCUUUUCAGAGAUAUAUUAGAUGUAGUUGUCUUAAUUAUUAUUGUGUUCAUCAUUAUGUGAAAAUUGGUUCAAGUGGAUUGCUAAUUAUUUUGAUAAUCUAAAUUAUAUUUUGUUAUGCUUGGAGCUUUGGCUUAUAAUUAAGGAUUUUAAUCUGUUGCUAUUGAUGAAGUGAGUCGAGUAUUGCGGCUUAAUUAAUGCAUAGGA